rnacentral:sRNA from 1 species
CAGAACCCGAUCCGGGGAAGGUGAAAACCUUCGACAAGGUUCGAGUCGAGCAACGCGAGACAACGUUGCCGCAGGCAACGGCCCGGAGGGCGAGCCGCAACGCGGCGAGUCAUCCUUCCCCCACCACCA